UCAUGCUUUGGGUCCACACUGCCUUUACGAGCUGUUAACACUCACCGCGAAGAUCUGCAGCUUCACUCCUGAAGCCAGCGAGACCACGAACCCACCGGGAGGAAUGAACAACUCCAGACGCGCCGCCUUAAGAGCUGUAACACCGCGAAGUUCCGCAGCUUCACUCCUGAGGCAGCCAGACCACGAACCCACCGGAGGAACGAACAACUCCAGACGCGCCGCCUUAAGAGCUGUAACACCGCGAAAGUCCGCAGCUUCACUCCUGAGGCAGCCAGACCACGAACCCACCGGAGGAACGAACAACUCCAGACGCGCCGCCUUAAGAGCUGUAACACCGCGAAAGUCCGCAGCUUCACUCCUGAGGCAGCCAGACCACGAACCCACCGGAGGAACGAACAACUCCAGACGCGCCGCCUUAAGAGCUGUAACACCGCAAAAGUCCGCAGCUUCACUCCUGAGGCAGCGAGACCACGAACCCACCGGGAGGAACGAACAACUCCAGACGCGCCGCCUUAAAAGCUGUAACACCGCGAAAGUCCGCAGCUUCACUCCUGAGGUAGCAAGACCACAACCGAGACCACGAACCCACCAAAAGGAAGAAACUCCGAACACAUCUGAACAUCAGAAGGAACAAACUCCGGACACGCCACCUUUAAGAACUGUAACACUCACCGCGAACGUCCACGGCUUCAUUCUUGAAGUCAGUGAGACCAAGAACCCGCCAAUUCCGGACACACAGCUACAGCCAAGCCUGUUUGCUUCUCUGGGCCAGCGUCCCUGGAGCUGAAUCGCGGCUGGCUGGAUUUGAGGAGCCUGCACGGGCUCACCCUCUCUCUGAAUCCCGGCCAGGGCUCACCUGGCUGUAAUUACUAAGACUCAGCUGCUGGGAAUUUCCACGCCUCCUACCUCUCUGCCGGGCAGCCCCUCCAUAUUAGGAAACCCACUGGCACGCUCCGCCAUUAUUUUUGCAAGACUUCCGUUGUUGCGUCAAGUUACAGAGUGCCUUUAACAGAGAAAAAAGUGAGAGAAAGAUGUCUCUGCUGGCAGCGUGAGGGGCAGACUGGCGUGGGGAUGCUGGAGGCUGGAGCUCGAAGGAGAGGAUGGUGUUAUCCAACACCCGGAGGCAUCAGGACCUGCAAAAGUGCUGUCAAAACAGGAAAAUGCUGUGAACUUUAACAAAAUUGUCAAGUUCACCAACUUUUUUGUUUUUUCUCUGUUAAAGAUCUUGCUUGCUUGACUGGUUUUUCCAAAUUCCCAGCGCUCCUCUGAAGUCAGUCAAUAUGGCAUUAUUGUCAUUUGGGGAACAGUAAACCUUUGAAAAAUGCCUUUUGCGUUCUGGAUUUAUGGAAACCGUUUGAACCGUGAGGAAACAGAAGAUCAGGAACAGAGGUGUUUUGCCUGGAGCCAGGAACAGAUGUGUUUUGCCUGGAGCCUGGAACAGAGUGUUUUGCAUGGAUCCUGGAAGAGUGCUUUGCAUGCAGUGGGUUCUUGGUGGAGCAGGAAU